UACGAAGGGGGCUAGCGUUGCUCGGAAUGACUGGGCGUAAAGGGCGCGUAGGCGGCUCAUACAGUCAGGCGUGAAAUUCCUGGGCUCAACCUGGGGACUGCGCUUGAGACGUGUGGGCUUGAGUGGGGAAGAGGGUCGUGGAAUUCCCAGUGUAGAGGUGAAAUUCGUAGAUAUUGGGAAGAACACCGGUGGCGAAGGCGGCGACCUGGUCCUUGACUGACGCUGAGGUGCGAAAGCGUGGGGAGCAAACAGG
rnacentral:rRNA from 1 species